rnacentral:lncRNA from 1 species
GCUUGAUUCUGGGGGAUGGUUCUGCGGUCGCUUCUAUUUAACAUCUUUAUUAACGAUCUUGGAGGGAUUGAGUGCACCCUCAGUAAAUUUGUAGACAACACCAAGUUGGGAGGGAGUAUUAAUCUGCCAGAGGGCAGAAAGGCACUACAGAAGGACCUGGAUAGACUGGAUCAAUGGGCCAAGGUUAACAGUAUGAGUUUCAAUAGGGCCAACUGUCGGAUCCUGCGUUUUCAUCACAACAACCCCAGGCAACCCUACAGGCUUGGGGAGGAGUGGCUGGAAAGCUGCCUGAUGGAAAGGGAUCUUGGUGUACUGAUGGACAGUCUGCUGAAUAUGAGCCAGCAGUGUGCCCAGGGGCCAAGAGGCAUCCUGGCUUGUAUCACGAAUGGUGUUGUGAGCAGGACUAGGGAAGUCAUCCUGCCCCUGUACUUGGCAUUGGUGAGGCCUCAGCUCGAGGACUGUGUUCAGUUUGGGGCACCUCAGUACCGAAAGGACAUUGAGGUGCUGGAGCAGGUCCAAAGAAGGGCAAAAAGGCUUGUGAAGGCCUUGGCGAAUAUGCCCUAUGAGGAGAGACUGAAGGAACUGGGGCUGUUUAGUCUGGGGAAAAGGAGGCUGAGGGGAGACCUUAUUGCUCUCUUCCAAUAUCUGAAAGCUGCUUACAGCGAGAAUGGGGCUGGUCUCUUCUCACUGAUGACAGGUGACAGAAGGAGGGGAAAUGGCCUCAAGUUGUGCCAGGGUAAGUUUAGGUUGGAUAUCAGGAAAAACUUCUUUACUGAAAGUGUUGUUAAGCACUGGAAUAGGCUCCCCAGGGAGGUGGUUGAGUCACCACCCCUGGAUGUGUUUAAAAAUUGUUUGGAUGUGCUCAGGGACAUGAUUUAGCAGAGGGUUGUCAGAGUUAAGGUAGUAUGGUUAAGUUGUGGUUGGACUUGAUGAUCUUUAAGGUCUUUUUCAACCUGAGCAAUUCUAUGAUUCUAUGAAUCUAAGGACAGGGUGAGAGAGCUGGGGCUGUUCAGCCUGGAGAAGAGAAGGCUGCAAAGUGACCUGAGAGCAGCCUUUCAGUAUCUAAAGGGCAGCUAUAAGGAGGAAGGGGACAGGCUCUUUAGCAGGAUCUGUUGUGACAGAACAAGAGGAAAUGGUUUCA